GACGAAGGAUCCAAGCGUUAUCCGGAUUCAUUGGGUUUAAAGGGUGCGUAGGCGGCCCGGUAAGUCAGUGGUGAAAUCUCCUUGCUUAACAAGGAAACUGCCAUUGAUACUGCUGGGCUUGAGUACAGAUGCUGUGGGCGGAAUAUGACAUGCAGUGGUGAAAUACAUAGAGAUGUCAUAGAACACCGAUUGCGAAGGCAGCUCACAAAACUGUAACUGACGCUGAGGCACGAAAGUGCGGGGAUCAAACAGG
rnacentral:rRNA from 1 species